AACGAACGCUGGCGGCAUGCCUAACACAUGCAAGUCGAACGAAACGUCCGGGUCUUGUGGCGCACGGGGGCGGAACGCGAGGGAAGCUGCCCUUAGGUACGGAAUACCUACCAGAAAGGGGUGCUAAUAGCGGAUAAUGUCUUAGGACCAAAGAUUUAUCGCCUUUGGAUGGGCCCGCGUUGGAUUCGCUGGUUGGUAGGGUAAAAGCAUAUCAAGGCGACGAUCCAUAGCUGGUCUGAGAGGAUGAUUAGCCACACUGGGACUAAGACACGGCCUAGAAUCCUACGCGAGGGAGGAGAGGGUGACAGAGGACAAUGGGGGAAAGGAUGAUCCAGCAAGGCCCCUUAAGUGAUGAAGGCCUUAGGGAAGUAAAGCGCUUUUAACCGGGAUGAUAAUGACGGUACCGGGUGAAAAAGCACCGGCUAACUACGUG
rnacentral:rRNA from 1 species